rnacentral:rRNA from 1 species
AGUUUGAUCCUGGCUCAGGAUGAACGCUAGCGGCAGGCCUAACACAUGCAAGUCGAGGGGUAGUUACUUUCGGGUAAUGAGACCGGCGCACGGGUGCGUAACGCGUAUGCAAUCUACCUUUUACAGGGGAAUAGCCCAGAGAAAUUUGGAUUAAUGCCCCAUAGUAUGUAUGAAUCGCAUGGUUUAUACAUUAAAGUUCCAACGGUAAAAGAUGAGCAUGCGUCCCAUUAGUUAGUUGGUAAGGUAACGGCUUACCAAGACGAUGAUGGGUAGGGGUCCUGAGAGGGAGAUCCCCCACACUGGUACUGAGACACGGACCAGACUCCUACGGGAGGCAGCAGUGAGGAAUAUUGGACAAUGGGCGCAAGCCUGAUCCAGCCAUGCCGCGUGCAGGAAGAAGCAUCUAUGGUGUGUAAACUGCUUUUGUACGGAAAGAAACACUCCUUCGUGAAGGAGCUUGACGGUACCGUAAGAAUAAGGAUCGGCUAACUCCGUG